GACGAACGCUGGCGGCGUGCCUAAUACAUGCAAGUCGAGCGAGACUCUUCGGAGUCUAGCGGCGGACGGGUGAGUAACACGUGGGCAACCUGCCUGUAAGACUGGGAUAACACCGGGAACCGGUGCUAAUACCGGAUAAUCCUUUUCCUCUCAUGAGGAAAAGUUGAAAGUCGGUUUCGGCUGACACUUACAGAUGGGCCCGCGGCGCAUUAGCUAGUUGGUGAGGUAACGGCUCACCAAGGCGACGAUGCGUAGCCGACCUGAGAGGGUGAUCGGCCACACUGGGACUGAGACACGGCCCAGACUCCUACGGGAGGCAGCAGUAGGGAAUCUUCCACAAUGGACGAAAGUCUGAUGGAGCAACGCCGCGUGAGCGAUGAAGGCCUUCGGGUCGUAAAGCUCUGUUGUUAGGGAAGAACAAGUACCGGAGUAACUGCCGGUACCUUGACGGUACCUAACCAGAAAGCCACAGCUAACUACGUGCCAGCCGCCGCAGUAACAC
rnacentral:rRNA from 1 species